rnacentral:rRNA from 1 species
GAUCAUGGCUCAGGGAUGAACGCUAGCGGCAGGCCUAACACAUGCAAGUCGAGGGGUAGAAGGAGCUUGCUCCUUUGAGACCGGCGCACGGGUGCGUAACGCGUAUGCAAUCUACCUUAUACAGGGGAAUAGCCCAGAGAAAUUUGGAUUAAUGCCCCAUAGCAUUACGACUUGGCAUCAAGAUGUAAUUAAAGUUCCAACGGUAUAAGAUGAGCAUGCGUCCCAUUAGUUAGUUGGUAAGGUAACGGCUUACCAAGACGAUGAUGGGUAGGGGUCCUGAGAGGGAGAUCCCCCACACUGGUACUGAGACACGGACCAGACUCCUACGGGAGGCAGCAGUGAGGAAUAUUGGUCAAUGGUCGCAAGACUGAACCAGCCAUGCCGCGUGCAGGAAGACGGUCCUAUGGAUUGUAAACUGCUUUUAUACAGGAAGAAACCCUCCCACGUGUGGGAGCUUGACGGUACUGUAGGAAUAAGGAUCGGCUAACUCCGUG